GGUUAAGCGACUAAGCGUACACGGUGGAUGCCCUGGCAGUCAGAGGCGAUGAAGGACGUGCUAAUCUGCGAUAAGCGUCGGUAAGGUGAUAUGAACCGUUAUAACCGGCGAUUUCCGAAUGGGGAAACCCAGUGUGUUUCGACACACUAUCAUUAACUGAAUCCAUAGGUUAAUGAGGCGAACCGGGGGAACUGAAACAUCUAAGUACCCCGAGGAAAAGAAAUCAACCGAGAUUCCCCCAGUAGCGGCGAGCGAACGGGGAGCAGCCCAGAGCCUGAAUCAGUGUGUGUGUUAGUGGAAGCGUCUGGAAAGGCGCGCGAUACAGGGUGACAGCCCCGUACACAAAAAUGCACAUGCUGUGAGCUCGAUGAGUAGGGCGGGACACGUGGUA
rnacentral:rRNA from 1 species